rnacentral:snoRNA from 1 species
GGCUGCCACAGAGACACUGUAACUCAUGGGCCCUGUUCCUCUCUGCUGAGGCUCAGGGAUAAAUUUUGUUACAGACAUGA